CAUCACUAAACCGGUCUGACGUGUGUCAUCUCAGUGAACGUGCACAUCGACCCCGACAGGCUAAUACAAUAAUGCUCAUUUGACAGACAAGGCAGCUGAAGGUCUGAGGGCAAAGCAGCUCCUUCCACAGACGGGGUUGAUGGUGGAGCCAGGGAGUCUCUCUGACCAUGGAAUCCUGCCCUUCUCUUUGCCCUUUGACCCAGUUCUCAGCCCCUGCUGGAUCUAGCAGUUUUUCGGAUGCUCUGGGGUGACUUCACCGGGCUGCCUUUGGCACGAACCCUGCUGUGUGGUGUUGUCUUUAGAACUUACCAGACUGUUUUCUGUGUUGAUUUGCCCAUCGACCUGAUCACACGAGGCUCAGUCUUUCUGAGGUCUCAAGAAAUGUGUGAAUUACGAGCCCUGAGCCACGGUGGAUGAAGUCCAGGCUACUCCAGUGAGAGAGCACUGAGACGCCACCUUGGACGUCCCAUCCAAGUCAAGGUGGCACGGGCCCUGGUUUCCAUCAGUCUGCAACCGGAUGAGAGACCCCAAGUGAGAACCGCUCAGCUGAGCCUCGUCAACGCACAGAACUCAAACGUGAAGCGAGCACCAGCUACAGGCUGUGGAGGGGGACAGUGUCACGAUCGAGCCAACCUUUACCCAGUGCAAACUCUGUGCCAGAGUGAAGAAAGUUCUGGAAAGUGGGAACCUGGACUGAUUUGUUCGCGACCGUAGCCCAGGACCGAGAUCAACGCUGCGCACAUAAAAUCCUCGGAAUGAGACAAUGGCGGACAACACGAGGUGUCUCAAGAUAGUGCCAAUGUUCUCUGCCACAGCCGUGGAGACAGGGCCCCUUCUGUGGCCCCCUCGGGCCCCUCGGGGUGCCAGACCUCUUCAGGAUGUACCCGGGUCUUGAGGUGUGCCAAGACUUUGCUCUAACUUGCCCACGGGUCUUACUGGGUUUAGGAGAAGCCCGGGAGAAUAAGCCAACCUUUGCUGGGCCCUCUCCGUGCUGUUCUCGAAGGUCGCAAGGAAGGGGUGAGGAGUGGGCCUACGUGCAGCCACCUUCCCACUCCUUCCCCUUCCCCAGGCUACCUGGGACCUGGCUGGGGCUCGGCCUCCUCCCGUCCACACCACCCACUGCUAGAGGUGGGGAGGGGCUUUGAGGGCCCUGGCCCCUUCCUCCGCUAGGGCCCAGGGCCUCUAAGGUAACUAUUUACUCCAGUCCCCCUCAGCCAAGCACGCUAUCUUAUCAGCUCAAACACUUCAGAGUUCAGGCCAAGAAGCCGAAGUCAAUUUUGAAAAAGUCUUUAAAAGACCAAACACAAACACCGGGGAGGGUGGAUGCAGGGGGCAAGGGUGGAGAUGAGGGUAAGGAAGGGCUCCUUCCUCCUUUACCGGGCUCAGGAGGACGCCAGGACUCUCCUGCCCAGAUGCCUGUGCCAGACGUUCACCGGAGCGCUGCUCACGUUGGCAGAAGACCGGCCGCCCCCAGCGUCUGUCACUACGACGGAUCAAUAAAUAAUAAAGUGCAUACAGCCCUUAAAAAGAACAAACCACUUCAUAGGCGGUGAUAUGGAACUAGGUUGUAAAGCGGGGGGAAGAAAAAAGCAAAGCCAUAAAGCCUUGUGUAUAAUCAGAUCCUUUUUGUAUAAAUAGAAAAGGUGGGCACAUAUAUCUCUGCAUGCCUGUUUAUGCAGAAAAAAUUUCUGGAAGCAUUUACGGGGUGUCUGGAGGUAUUAGCUGCCUCCAGGGCAGAAGUCAAAGGGAGACAGACUUCUCAUUAUACACUCUUUGUACCUUUUGAAUUACUGAAUACCAUGGCAACGUACUGUUAUCUAAAUAAAUAAACUAAAUAAGAGUAUUAGUGAUUUUUAUUCUAGGUAAAUGGCCAAUAACAUCAAAGAUGAGGGGGCGGGGAAUGACUGCAGAAGGUUUAGAGACUUUGCAUAGAUCAAGUUAAAAAAUUUUUUUUUACAUUUAUUUAUUUUUGAGAGACAGAGCGUGAACAGGGGAGGGGCAGAGAGAGAGGGAGACACAGAAUCCGAAGCAGGCUCCAGGCUCUGAGCUGUCAGCACAGAGCCUGAUGCGGGGCUCGAACUCACAAACCGUGAGAUCAUGACCUGAGCCGAAGUUGGACGUUCAACCGACUGAGCCACCCAGGCGCCCCUGCACAGAUCAGUUUAUUGAAGGUCUAGCUCAAGGGGAAACCUAAGCCUCAUUAGAUUCCCUCAGUGGCAGGAACCACAUUCAAACAAGGCUUUCAAAGCUCCCUCGUGCUUUCUUGCGUUUUAUAAACCUAGCUGCUUAAGCUGCACUUUCCAAACAUCAUCUCAUUGAACCUCUUGAGGAUUCUAUAAAGUGGAGUCAGAUCACUGUGUAGACUGCUUAAUUAAUUCAACAAAUACGUUGUUUUAGGUGAUGAGGACACAGCCAAGAACAAGUUCAUCAAGAUGCCUGAUCUCAUGGAGUCGAUGGGCUUACAGGGAGUACUGAACAAUAACAAGUAGAUAGAAACAGCCACACAAAAAGCAAAUAUGACGGUUUCAGACGGUUAGAACCCCUGAGAAGAAAACGAGACCAGGGAAUGUAGUCGAGGAUGGCUGGUGCGAGGAAUGGCCAGGGAGGGCCUUUCUGAGGACGGGACCCUUGAACGGAGACAUGAAUGAAAAACAAGAACCAUCCACAGGACAAUCAGGGCGAGAGUAGUUCCAGUGCAAAGGUCCUGAAAGUAGGCUUUGCUUGUGGGAGGAACAGGAUGACGGCAGGUGUGGCUGGAGCUUAGAGCUGUAGCCAGACAGGGUGGGGAA